AAUUUAAACUAAAGCUAACAUUUAUUUAAGCUAAUAAGUAGAGUGCACAGUAGUGGGAAGAACCCAUAAAAACAUAAGUAGUCAAAGUAUAGAUGACAAUACGACAUAAGUAGAGAAGUUGAAUCUAGUUAAGGUACUUAUUACAUAACCGGAAAUAAGCUCCUACAUUUAUUUAGGGAUAUGUCAGAACCACCGAAGAUUCCUUGUACGCCAUAGAGAAUUAAGCUAACUAAGUCUUGGAGGGGUGAAAACAGAAGGUAUAAGUGGGCAAAAACAAAGGUUUAUAAAACACAUUUAUUUUCUGAACAUACUAACCCCUCGCCGUAAAA
rnacentral:lncRNA from 1 species